AUACGGAGGGAGCGAGCGUUAAUCGGAAUUACUGGGCGUAAAGCGCGCGUAGGCGGUUUGAUAAGUCGGAUGUGAAAGCCCUGGGCUCAACCUGGGAACUGCAUUCGAAACUGUCUAACUAGAGUAUGGUAGAGGGAAGUGGAAUUCCAGGUGUAGCGGUGAAAUGCGUAGAUAUCUGGAGGAACAUCAGUGGCGAAGGCGACUUCCUGGACCAAUACUGACGCUGAGGUGCGAAAGCGUGGGGAGCAAACAGGAUUAGAAACCCCAGUAGUCC
rnacentral:rRNA from 1 species